ACUACACUCAGGAUGAGUAUUGGUAUUUGGUGUUUGCGCCCAGGAGCCAAUCCAUUCGCCGGUGUGAGCGUUACGAGCUUGAAGGAAGAAGCCCUUAAAGAUGUCGCCACCUAUGGUGACUGAAACGAAAAGUAUAAAAGUAAUCUGUGAGCCUGGUCCGUAUUCGCUCGAGGAUGCUACCACGGAGUAGGGGUUAGUUUCCAAAGACUGUGUUCUCGCUUGGCCGUGAUAGGGUUGAUUCUUUCUGGGCUUAACGCAAGCGUCCACUGGUGCACCGUCUGGAAAGGCCCUUACCGACGUCAUCGUGGCGAUGAUCGCACAUAGGAUGAGAAUAAUUAUUCUUCUUGGGAACGUCAUCUUGAUCGGUCAAGUGCAUGAAUAUUGAUAUACGCAGAGGUCUAUAUUCAUAACCGGAAUAGAAGUCUGUGAAUAAGAGGAAUCGGGGGAAUUUUGAUAUGGAGAGAUCUCUUUCAUCUUUUCUUAAGAUUAUUCAUUUCCGGCUUUAUAUAUCUGUAUCUGUAUACGGUCAAUGGUGAAUUGGAUGCACGUCGCAUAAUGGAAGCAAGGAUCUCUCAAAUAUUAAGAGAAAUCCCAAAGGGAUUCGAAUGAGCGAGGAUAAUAUUGGAGCAUCUUUAAUAACAAAACAUUGCGAAUGCAGUACGCGUCAUUAUUGUGCUUUUGUAAAUCCAAAUGCGUUCAUUUUUAAAAAAUUAUUGUCUCGGAGAACUUUACACAUUUUAAGCUGAUCGUCGCCCGCAUCGAAAUCAUAAGGAGAGACUUUCACUUGGCUGUCAAGGAAACCGGAACAGGAUACUUGCACGAGAAAAAAAAGAAACGUCCAAACAGUGAAUUCGAUUAAGUAAAAGUAACUUUUAAUACUGCGAAUAGAAAAUCAAUCAGCUGUAUUUUAUCAGUUGUCAAUUAUUCAAAUAUUUUUCGAUAUAAUAAUCGCUGUAACAUUCAAAUCAAUGAAUCUCUGACAGUGUAUAACAACGCGUGAUGCUUUUAACUUUUCUAUAUUUAUACGACUUUAUAUUUAAAUGUAAUUAGUACGUAUAUGUCUGACUAUUCUGUACUAAAAUCCAAUUACUUCUUAUGGUCUAGAAUAUAGUAGUGUAA